UGGGGAGCGGAUUGCCUGGGAAUGCGCUAACUCCCAGUCACCCAACGAUGCUGCAGCAAGAGACAGUCCUUUUGCUCAGCACGUCACACAACUAAGAUAAGUUAUUUCAGCAAGAACUCGUGCUGAGGAAAUCCGAGUUGAGCUGAGUGAGAUGCAAGAGGGACUAGCUGUGGUGGCUCUCCUAAAUGAAAGUAUUAAUGUAGAUGAGGUUACAGCCAGCCUCACUUAAGAUAUAAAUGCAAUGCAAGAGGAUUUCCUUACCCUUUGUGUAUGUGGCAUUACAUGAUGUUGUCUGAAAAAAAACAAAUAACAGUUAAACACAGUGGACCUUUUUCCUGCAGCAAACCAAGGCACAGAGCAGCACAACUCUGGAUAAACCAAAGAACCCUCUUCUUGCCAAACUUGCAAUAUGUCUUCAAGAAAUAAAGGUUCGGAGACAGGCUUAUUAUUCAAAUACAUUCAUUGGCAACCAAGUCAACAAGUGUGUUAAGAAGAAAAAUAUCAUUAAGAUCACACAAGCCAUUGUAGAAGAAACUUUGCAUCUGUGUCCAUCUUGGUCGAGGAGGAUGAAGUAAUAGCUGCAAAAUAUGAACACCUCUUCACGCUCUUUGCAUCAUGUCAUGGUGCAUACAACACAGCAAGUGUUCUCAGUGAUGCUGAAAUUGACAAACUUUAUGAUGACAUAAAAAAUACCUGGAUUUCUUCUGUGCUCACUUCCCAGCAGAAACAGCGCCAUCACAGAUGCACAUUACGGAGAGGCAUAUCAUGCCCUUCAUUGCAGCCACAAAAGCACGGGUUUGGACUUCUUGGUGAACAAGGAGGCGAAUGCAUGCAUGCAGAGUUUAACAACCUGAAUGCAUGAUAUAAUGGAGCUAGAAACACUGCCAAGAAGGAUGUGGAACCACACAAACUAAUGUGUGUCAUGAGGGAACACCUGUUGAGUGUGACACCAUCAAUUGCUAGUGUAUGCCCACAGCAAAUCCCAAAGAAGAGGAAAUCAGAAAGUUUAUAGGCAUUAUCACUCUAUAUGUGUGUAAACAAAGACAGCAAAAUCAAUUAUUAAACUUUAUUUAUUAAAGAUAAACACUUUCUUCUUUCCACCAACAAAGACACAGCUGACAAUAUGUUGGAGAAGACUUAAAAAGAUACAUGUACUCUUGGUCCAUAAGACACCAACCUCCAAACCAUGCAGUAACUUUUGAUGUAUAGAGGCAUGCGUAGCCUUAGCCAUGUUAUAAGCACGUUUUGCAAAUAUUAAAAACAUAUUCUAUAAACCAAAAACCGAUAUAUUUGUAAAUGAACGUACAUGUACUGUGCAAUGGUGUAAACACACAGGCCUAUUUGUCGUGUAUAUGUAUGUCUUUUUCAAACUUGUUAAAAAUACUGCUAUUUGAAGAUACAUGCCUAACGGCAUGUACUUCGGAGCAACUCCUUCACAGUGAGGACGCCCAUGAAACCACCAUGCGGCGCACGUAGACCUCUCACGGGUAUUCCUCUAAGAUGUAGUGUAUCAAUGUAAACAUCAGCGUGUCAUGUAAUGCCUUGCAAGUGCGUACCGUUAGGUUUGCACAGAUCACAGAGCUCCGAUACAUUGUAAAAGGUCCAUUCUUCACGAUGGAUUUCAAGCGUAGACUGGCAAAACUGUAGGAGCAAUGCUUUUGAGGCUUUAACAACGGUCAAAAGUCCAGUAAUCGUCGAUCAUUCACCAACAGACAUUAACUUUUAGACACAAAGUGGCCGAACGUACCCUCAAUUUAAAAGUCAAUUUUGUGUUUUUAAC